rnacentral:rRNA from 2 species
CUGGCUCAGGAUGAACGCUGGCGGCGUGCCUAACACAUGCAAGUCGAACGGUUAAGCCGGCUUCGGCCGGGAAUACAGUGGCGAACGGGUGAGUAACACGUGACCAACCUGCCCCCCGCUCCGGGACAACCGCUGGAAACGGCGGCUAAUACCGGGUACUCCGCGGGCCCCGCAUGGGGCCGGCGGGAAAGCCCAGGCGGCGGGGGAUGGGGUCGCGGCCCAUUAGGUAGUAGGCGGGGUAGAGGCCCACCUAGCCGACGAUGGGUAGCCGGACUGAGAGGUCGACCGGCCACAUUGGGACUGAGAUACGGCCCAGACUCCUACGGGAGGCAGCAGUGGGGAAUUUUGCGCAAUGGGGGAAACCCUGACGCAGCAACGCCGCGUGCGGGACGAAGGCCCUCGGGCUGUAAACCGCUUUCAGCAGGGAAGACAUCGACGGUACCUGCAGAAGAAGCUCCGGCUAACUACGUGCCAGCAGCCGCGGUAAUACGUAGGGGGCGAGCGUUAUCCGGAUUCAUUGGGCGUAAAGCGCGCGUAGGCGGCCGCCUAAGCGGAACCUCUAACCCCGGGGCUCAACCUCGGGCCGGGUUCCGGACUGGGCGGCUCGAGUGCGGUAGAGGAGAGCGGAAUUCCCGGUGUAGCGGUGGAAUGCGCAGAUAUCGGGAAGAACACCGAUGGCGAAGGCAGCUCUCUGGGCCGUCACUGACGCUGAGGCGCGAAAGCUGGGGGAGCGAACAGGAUUAGAUACCCUGGUAGUCCCAGCCGUAAACGAUGGACGCUAGGUGUGGGGGGAACAUCCCUCCGUGCCGCAGCCAACGCAUUAAGCGUCCCGCCUGGGGAGUACGGCCGCAAGGCUAAAACUCAAAGGAAUUGACGGGGGCCCGCACAAGCAGCGGAGCAUGUGGCUUAAUUCGAAGCAACGCGAAGAACCUUACCAGGGCUUGACAUGCGAGUGAAGCCGGGGAGACCCGGUGGCCGAGAGGAGCUCGCGCAGGUGGUGCAUGGCUGUC